GCAUUGCCCACAGUAAGAUGGGUUCCCGGCGGACGGUUCUAGUCAGCCUGUUCUUGAUCUGCAGUCAGGCACUAGCUGACCUUUCUGGUGAUGCCCAGACGCUGGAAAAGUGCAUGCGGGAGCUGAGUUCGCCGGAGACCAUAGCUGACGAUCUUCGGAAGCUGGAACGGUAUCCGUCGUGGGCGCAGGAGGAGCUACCUUGCCUGAUGCGCUGCUUGGCCAGGGAAAAGGGCUGGUUCGACGUCGACGCUAACAAGUGGAUACUCAAGAAACUGACCGAGGACCUGGGCGCCGAUGUCUAUAACUACUGCAGAUUCGAGCUGCGCCGGAUGGGGACCGACGGCUGUAGCUUCGCUUACCGGGGACUCAGGUGCCUGAAGCAGGCCGAGAUGCAUGCAGGCACCAGCCUGAGCACCCUACUGCAGUGCUCCCGCCAGCUGAACGCCACCAAUGUGGAGCUGCUGCAGUACAGUAAGCUGAAGUCAAAGGAACCCAUUCCUUGCCUUUUUCAGUGCUUUGCGGAUGCCAUGGGCUUCUACGAUCACGAGGGAAACUGGCGGCUGGAAAACUGGAAGCAGGCUUUCGGGCCUUCCGGAAAUGAGGAUCAGUCUUUUGGCUCGGACUACAGCGGCUGUCGACUAAGUGGGACACAGCGGCAGGAGGCGGCAAACAAGUGCUCGUGGAUGUACCAUGAGUACAAAUGCUGGGAGCGAGUAAAUGGGAAUAAGCUGGUGGAGGACAACAGGGAGCAGUCGUAAGACGUCGGUAGUAUUAAAUUUAUGGGAUACUUGUCAAUGCCAAAAAUGAAAAAGCACUAUUUGCUUUUGGAAAGGGAAUUGCCUAGACGGCCAUCGCGUAGCAGGUGAACUGUUUGUAGUAUGUGGAACAUCGGUCCUUGCCACGCUGCCGAUGGCAGCUCCUUAUGCGAG